UGGGGAAUAUUGCACAAUGGGCGCAAGCCUGAUGCAGCCAUGCCGCGUGUGUGAGAAGGCCUUCGGUUGUAAGCACUUUCAGCGAGGAGGAAGGUGGUGAGCUUAAUACGCUCAUCAAUUGACGUUACUCGUAGAAGAAGCACCGGCUAACUCCGUGCCAGCAGCCGCGGUAAUACGGAGGGUGCAAGCGUUAAUCGGAAUUACUGGGCGUAAAGCGAACGCAGGCGGUUUGUUAAGUCAGAUGUGAAAUCCCCGGGCUCAACCUGGGAACUGCAUUUGAAACUGGCAAGCUAGAGUCUCGUAGAGGGGGGCUAGAAUUCCAGGUGUAGCGGUGAAAUGCGUAGAGAUCUGGAGGAAUACCGGUGGCGAAGGCGGCCCCCCUGGACGAAGACUGACGCUCAGGUGCGAAAGCGUGGGGCAGCAAACA
rnacentral:rRNA from 1 species